rnacentral:rRNA from 1 species
UACAGAGGUCUCAAGCGUUUGUUCGGAUUCAUUGGGCGUAAAGGGUGCGUAGGUGGCGCUGUAAGUCGGGUGUGAAAUUUCGGAGCUUAACUCCGAAACUGCAUUCGAUACUGCGGUGCUUGAGGACUGGAGAGGAGACUGGAAUUCAUGGUGUAGCAGUGAAAUGCGUAGAGAUCAUGAGGAAGACCAGUGGCGAAGGCGGGGUCUCUGGACAGUUCCUGACGCUGAGGCACGAAGGUCAGGGGAGCAAACGGG